rnacentral:rRNA from 1 species
AAAAAAGGUAAGCUACUAAGAGCGAAUGGUGGAUGCCUUGACUGGUAAAGGCGAUGAAGGACGUACUAGACUGCGAUAAGCUACGGGGAGCUGUCAAGAAGCUUUGAUCCGUAGAUUUCCGAAUGGGGCAACCCAAUGUAUAGAGAUAUACAUUACCUAUAUAGGAGCGAACGAGGGGAAUUGAAACAUCUUAGUACCCUCAGGAAAAGAAAUCAAUAGAGAUUGCGUCAGUAGCGGCGAGCGAAAGCGCAAGAGGGCAAACCCAGUGCUUGCACUGGGGGUUGUAGGACUGCAAUGUGCAAGAGGUGAGUUUAGCAGAACAUUCUGGAAAGUAUAGCCAUAGAGGGUGAUAGUCCCGUAUGCGAAAAACAAACCUUAGCUAGCAGUAUCCUGAGUAGGGCGGGACACGAGAAAUCCUGUCUGAAGCUGGGUCGACCACGAUCCAACCCUAAAUACUAAUACCAGAUCGAUAGUGCACAAGUACCGUGAGGGAAAGGUGAAAAGAACUGAGGUGAUCAGAGUGAAAUAGAACCUGAAACCAUUUGCUUACAAUCAUUCAGAGCCCUAUGUAGCAAUACAGGGUGAUGGACUGCCUUUUGCAUAAUGAGCCUGCGAGUUGUGGUGUCUGGCAAGGUUAAGCAAACGCGAAGCCGUAGCGAAAGCGAGUCUGAAUAGGGCGCUUAGUCAGAUGCUGCAGACCCGAAACGAAGUGAUCUAUCCAUGAGCAAGUUGAAGCUAGUGUAAGAACUAGUGGAGGACUGAACCCAUAGGCGUUGAAAAGCCCCGGGAUGACUUGUGGAUAGGGGUGAAAGGCCAAUCAAACUUCGUGAUAGCUGGUUCUCUCCGAAAUAUAUUUAGGUAUAGCGUUGUGUCGUAAUAUAAGGGGGUAGAGCACUGAAUGGGCUAGGGCAUACACCAAUGUACCAAACCCUAUCAAACUCCGAAUACCUUAUAUGUAAUCACAGCAGUCAGGCGGCGAGUGAUAAAAUCCGUCGUCAAGAGGGAAACAACCCAGACUACCAGCUAAGGUCCCUAAAUCUUACUUAAGUGGAAAACGAUGUGAAGUUACUUAAACAACCAGGAGGUUGGCUUAGAAGCAGCCAUCCUUUAAAGAAAGCGUAAUAGCUCACUGGUCUAGUGAUUUUGCGCGGAAAAUAUAACGGGGCUAAAGUAAGUACCGAAGCUGUAGACUUGCGCACAACUUAGAUUAUUUAAGUUUAGAAUAUGAGAAACUAAGUUAUAUGUUUAGUUAUAUUUUUACUGAUUUUUAUAGAGUAAAGAUAGAAAUAAAACUUAGUAAAAUCAGUAAAAAUAUUCUUAGACUAAAGUUAAGUAGUUUAAGUUGUGUGCAAGUGGUAGGAGAGCGUUCUAUUUGCGUCGAAGGUAUACCGGUAAGGAGUGCUGGAGCGAAUAGAAGUGAGCAUGCAGGCAUGAGUAGCGAUAAUUAAUGUGAGAAUCAUUAACGCCGUAAACCCAAGGUUUCCUACGCGAUGCUCGUCAUCGUAGGGUUAGUCGGGUCCUAAGUCGAGUCCGAAAGGGGUAGACGAUGGCAAAUUGGUUAAUAUUCCAAUACCAACAUUAGUGUGCGAUGGAAGGACGCUUAGGGCUAAGGGGGCUAGCGGAUGGAAGUGCUAGUCUAAGGUCGUAGGAGGUUAUACAGGCAAAUCCGUAUAACAAUACUCCGAGAACUGAAAGGCUUUUUGAAGUCUUCGGAUGGAUAGAAGAACCCCUGAUGCCGUCGAGCCAAGAAAAGUUUCUAAGUUUAGCUAAUGUUGCCCGUACCGUAAACCGACACAGGUGGGUGGGAUGAGUAUUCUAAGGCGCGUGGAAGAACUCUCUUUAAGGAACUCUGCAAAAUAGCACCGUAUCUUCGGUAUAAGGUGUGGUUCGCUUCGUAUUAGGAUUUACUCCGAAAGCGAAGAAACUUACAACAAAGAGUCCCUCCCGACUGUUUACCAAAAACACAGCACUCUGCUAACUCGUAAGAGGAUGUAUAGGGUGUGACGCCUGCCCGGUGCUCGAAGGUUAAUUGAUGGGGUUAGCAUUAGCGAAGCUCUUGAUCGAAGCCCGAGUAAACGGCGGCCGUAACUAUAACGGUCCUAAGGUAGCGAAAUUCCUUGUCGGUUAAAUACCGACCUGCAUGAAUGGCGUAACGAGAUGGGAGCUGUCUCAAAGAGGGAUCCAGUGAAAUUGUAGUGGAGGUGAAAAUUCCUCCUACCCGCGGCAAGACGGAAAGACCCCGUGGACCUUUACUACAGCUUGACACUGCUAUUUGGAUAAGAAUGUGCAGGAUAG